rnacentral:rRNA from 1 species
GACGAACGCUGGCGGCGUGCUUAACACAUGCAAGUCGAACGGAAAGGCCCUGCUUUUGUGGGGUGCUCGAGUGGCGAACGGGUGAGUAACACGUGAGUAACCUGCCCUUGACUUUGGGAUAACUUCAGGAAACUGGGGCUAAUACCGGAUAGGAGCUCCUGCUGCAUGGUGGGGGUUGGAAAGUUUCGGCGGUUGGGGAUGGACUCGCGGCUUAUCAGCUUGUUGGUGGGGUAGUGGCUUACCAAGGCUUUGCCGGGUAGCCGGCCUGAGAGGGUGACCGGCCACAUGGGGACUGAGGUACGGCCCAGACUCCUACGGGAGGCAGCAGUGGGGAAUAUUGCACAAUGGGCGGAAGCCUGAGGCAGCAACGCCGCGUGCGGGAUGACGGCCUUCGGGUGGUAAACCGCUUUCGCCUGUGACGAAGCGUGAGUGACGGUAAUGGGUAAAGAAGCACCGGCUAACUACGUG